rnacentral:rRNA from 1 species
GACGAACGCUGGCGGCGUGCCUAAUACAUGCAAGUCGAACGCUGAAGGAGGAGCUUGCUUCUCUGGAUGAGUUGCGAACGGGUGAGUAACGCGUAGGUAACCUGCCUGGUAGCGGGGGAUAACUAUUGGAAACGAUAGCUAAUACCGCAUAAUAGUAGAUGUUGCAUGACAUUUGCUUAAAAGGUGCAAUUGCAUCACUACCAGAUGGACCUGCGUUGUAUUAGCUAGUUGGUGGGGUAACGGCUCACCAAGGCGACGAUACAUAGCCGACCUGAGAGGGUGAUCGGCCACACUGGGACUGAGACACGGCCCAGACUCCUUCGGGAGGCAGCAGUAGGGAAUCUUCGGCAAUGGACGGAAGUCUGACCGAGCAACGCCGCGUGAGUGAAGAAGGUUUUCGGAUCGUAAAGCUCUGUUGUAAGAGAAGAACGAGUGUGAGAGUGGAAAGUUCACACUGUGACGGUAUCUUACCAGAAAGGGACGGCUAACUACGUG